CUGCAUUAUAUAUAUUGUCCAAUAUAGGAAAGGCACGGCCACCAAAUCAAUACAAUUGGCAUUUGUACUUGAAACUCCACCAUGAAACUGGUCCUAGGAUUGUUGUUGGCAUUCUAUGCUCUCAUUUCCAUUGGCAGUGCAGUUCGGGUCAUGAGCAAUUGUGUAUGCGCUGAGAGCAAGAGGGUGUCAUCCCAUCCUCCUCCUGC
rnacentral:lncRNA from 1 species